GAACAAAACCCAUCAGAAGAUGUCAGAAGAUAAGGAUUUUUGUCCUGAUGCUACACUUACCAGCUGUCCCUCAGUGUUCUACUUCUUAAAAAAAGAGAGAUGGAUAAACAGAGGCAACCCGAGGAUAAAGGCCUUGCUCAGUGUCACACAUUUCAGUCACUAAAUAAGACACAAUGGAUGCCAGUAUUCUCAUCCCCUCACAAAUAAAGAGCCUUCAAGCUCUUGCAGUCAACAAGAACUUUUGGAAUGAUUUCACUGCCUGAAAAGGCAGAUACAUAGGUGACACCCACAAAUAGGAAGAAAAUCAACCUGAACCUGAGUGUGUGGGCUCACUGACUCUAAGCAGUAGAGACAGAAGAAAAAGUUUUAGCAAAGAAGGGUUCUGAAAGAAAAUAAAUAUAGCUCGUUAUCAAGUGCUGUUUUUACACAGUAAAACAUGGGCAAAAUUACUCUUCUUUAAGUAGUAAUUCUUAUCUCUUGAUUAAGUCACCUACUCAUUCAUUUAAUAAAUACAUACUGAUUGUUUUC
rnacentral:lncRNA from 1 species